AUGAUGGGUUGGAUUGUUCAGGGUCUGGGUCUUUCAAUGCCACAACCGGUGCUUAAAAACAAAGAAGGAUGUUUGGAGGACGGGAAGAUUGUGCAAAAUGGGGAGAGGACACUGAGAACCCUUUAAACAAAAGGAGAGAGAGCGCAACACAGCAUUACACAGUCACAGACAAAUGGAUAGUGGAGACAGAUGCAUUUGAAGAAGA